UUCUUUUUGAUUAGUGCCUUAAAUCUAAGG
rnacentral:piRNA from 1 species